CGAAAGCCUGACGGAGCAAUACCGCGUGAGGGAUGAAAGCCUGUGGGUUGUAAACCUCUUUUCUCAAGGAAGAAGUUCUGACGGUACUUGAGGAAUAAGCAUCGGCUAACUCUGUGCCAGCAGCCGCGGUAAUACAGAGGAUGCAAACGUUAUCCGGAAUCACUGGGCAUAAAGCGUCUGUAGGUGGCUUAAUAAGUCAACUGUUAAAUCUUGAAGCUCAACUUCAAAAUCGCAGUCGAAACUAUUAGACUAGAGUAUAGUAGAGGUAAAGGGAAUUUCCAGUGGAGCGGUGAAAUGCGUAGAGAUUGGAAAGAACACCGAUGGCGAAGGCACUUUACUGGGCUAUUACUGACACUCAGAGACGAAAGCUAGGGUAGCAAAUG
rnacentral:rRNA from 1 species